CGGUGGUAUUGCUUGCCGGUUGUCUCGGGGCCAGUCGCUGCAUUCCAAUGCCGAUCCUCUGAAUGCAGUCCGCGAUAUUAAACAGCGAAUGCAAAACCGACCGACACUUGACUGCUUGACGUUGAAAAUGUAGCUUAUGAUAGUGCUGUUUGCCGUGCUUGCUCUUGCCAGUUGCCUGGAGGUUAGUAGCUGUCGCCCAAAACGAUGUCCAAGGAACGAACUUUUUGACUGCUGUCCCUGUGAGCAACGGAACUGUAGAACGACGAAUUUCAAAUGUAAGACCACGUGUGUGCCGACGUCCGUUUGUCGAACUGGUCACGUAAGGGACAGUACAUCGGACAACUGUAUUCCGGAGAGUAGGUGCGCUCGUGCAACAUCACCGGCACAAUAAGCGCUAUGCCCCCAAAGUGUUGAGGCAAGUUCUGACCAAU